rnacentral:rRNA from 1 species
UACGUAGGGGGCAAGCGUUGUCCGGAAUCAUUGGGCGUAAAGAGCGUGUAGGCGGCUUGGUAAGUCCGCUGUGAAAGUCCAGGGCUCAACCCUGGAAAGCCGAUGGAAACUGUCAAGCUUGAGUCCGGAAGAGGCGAGUGGAAUUCCUGGUGUAGCGGUGAAAUGCGCAGAUAUCAGGAGGAACACCAAUGGCGAAGGCAGCUCGCUGGGACGGUACUGACGCUGAGACGCGAAAGCGUGGGGAGCGAACAGG